rnacentral:rRNA from 1 species
AGAGGCGAUGAAAGACGUAGUAACUUGCGAUAAGCCCAGAUUAGGUAGUAACAACCAUUUGAGUCUGGGAUUUCUGAAUGGGGAAACCCACGUGCAUAAGCACGUAUCCUUACCUGAAUACAUAGGGUAAGGAGGCGAACCGGGGGAACUGAAACAUCUAAGUACCCCGAGGAAAAGAAAUCAACCGAGAUUCCGAAAGUAGCGGCGAGCGAAAUUGGACUAGCCCUUAAGCUUUACACGCGUUAGACGAACGGUCUGGAAAGUCCGACGAUACAGGGUGAUAGUCCCGUAGUUGACGACGUGUGUUCAGUGAAAUCGAGUAGGGCGGGACACGUGAUAUCCUGUCUGAAUAUGGGGGGACCAUCCUCCAAGGCUAAAUACUACUGACUGACCGAUAGUGAACCAGUACCGUGAGGGAAAGGCGAAAAGAACCCCUGUGAGGGGAGUGAAAUAGAACCUGAAACCGUGUACGUACAAGCAGUAGGAGCAGGCUUUGUCCUGUGACUGCGUACCUUUUGUAUAAUGGGUCAGCGACUUAUAUUCAGUGGCAAGGUUAACCAUCUAGGGGAGCCGUAGGGAAACCGAGUCUUAACUGGGCGUUCAGUCUCUGGAUAUAGACCCGAAACCAGGUGAUCUAGCCAUGGGCAGGUUGAAGGUUGAGUAACAUCAACUGGAGGACCGAACCGACUAAUGUUGAAAAAUUAGCGGAUGACUUGUGGCUAGGGGUGAAAGGCCAAUCAAACCUGGAGAUAGCUGGUUCUCCCCGAAAGCUAUUUAGGUAGCGCCUCGGACGAAUACUACUGGGGGUAGAGCACUGUUAAGGCUAGGGGGUCAUCCCGACUUACCAACCCUUUGCAAACUCCGAAUACCAGUAAGUACUAUCCGGGAGACACACGGCGGGUGCUAACGUCCGUCGUGGAGAGGGAAACAACCCAGACCGCCAGCUAAGGUCCCAAAUUACUACUAAGUGGGAAACGAUGUGGGAAGGCUCAGACAGCCAGGAUGUUGGCUUAGAAGCAGCCAUCAUUUAAAGAAAGCGUAAUAGCUCACUGGUCGAGUCGGCCUGCGCGGAAGAUGUAACGGGGCUAAGUAGUAAACCGAAGCUGCGGCAAUGUGCUUUUGCACAUUGGGUAGGGGAGCGUUCUGUAAGCGGUUGAAGGUGUGUGGUAACGCAUGCUGGACGUAUCAGAAGUGCGAAUGCUGACAUGAGUAACGAUAAAGGGGGUGAAAAACCUCCUCGCCGGAAGACCAAGGGUUCCUGUCCAACGUUAAUCGGGGCAGGGUGAGUCGACCCCUAAGGCGAGGCCGAAAGGCGUAGUCGAUGGGAAACGGGUUAAUAUUCCCGUACUUCUUACAAUUGCGAUGGGGGGACGGAGAAGGCUAGGUGGGCCUGGCGACGGUUGUCCAGGUUCAAGUGCGUAGGCUUAAGAGUUAGGUAAAUCCGGCUCUUUUUAAGGCUGAGACACGACGUCGAGCACCUACGGGUGUGAAGUCAUUGAUGCCAUGCUUCCAGGAAAAGCCUCUAAGCUUCAGAUUGUAAGGAAUCGUACCCCAAACCGACACAGGUGGUCGGGUAGAGAAUACCAAGGCGCUUGAGAGAACUCGGGUGAAGGAACUAGGCAAAAUGGUACCGUAACUUCGGGAGAAGGUACGCUCUCGACGGUGAAGUCCCUUGCGGAUGGAGCUAUUGAGAGUCGCAGAUACCAGGUGGCUGCAACUGUUUAUUAAAAACACAGCACUGUGCAAAAUCGUAAGAUGACGUAUACGGUGUGACGCCUGCCCGGUGCCGGAAGGUUAAUUGAUGGGGUUAGACUUCGGUCGAAGCUCUUGAUCGAAGCCCCGGUAAACGGCGGCCGUAACUAUAACGGUCCUAAGGUAGCGAAAUUCCUUGUCGGGUAAGUUCCGACCUGCACGAAUGGCGUAAUGAUGGCCACGCUGUCUCCACCCGAGACUCAGUGAAAUUGAAAUCGCUGUGAAGAUGCAGUGUACCCGCGGCUAGACGGAAAGACCCCGUGAACCUUUACUACAGCUUGGCACUGAACAUUGACCCUACAUGUGUAGGAUAGGUGGGAGGCUUUGAAGCACGUACGCCAGUAUGUGUGGAGCCGUCCUUGAAAUACCACCCUUGUAGUGUUGAUGUUCUAACGUCGACCCCUAAUCGGGGUUGCGGACAGUGCCUGGUGGGUAGUUUGACUGGGGCGGUCUCCUCCCAAAGAGUAACGGAGGAGCACGAAGGUGGGCUAAUCACGGUUGGACAUCGUGAGGUUAGUGCAAUGGCAUAAGCCCGCUUGACUGCGAGAAUGACAAUUCGAGCAGGUGCGAAAGCAGGUCAUAGUGAUCCGGUGGUUCUGAAUGGAAGGGCCAUCGCUCAACGGAUAAAAGGUACUCCGGGGAUAACAGGCUGAUACCGCCCAAGAGUUCAUAUCGACGGCGGUGUUUGGCACCUCGAUGUCGGCUCAUCACAUCCUGGGGCUGAAGUCGGUCCCAAGGGUAUGGCUGUUCGCCAUUUAAAGUGGUACGCGAGCUGGGUUUAGAACGUCGUGAGACAGUUCGGUCCCUAUCUGCCGUGGGCGUUGGAAGAUUGAAGGGGGCUGCUCCUAGUACGAGAGGACCGGAGUGGACGAACCUCUGGUGUUCGGGUUGUGUCGCCAGACGCAUUGCCCGGUAGCUAAGUUCGGAAUCGAUAACCGCUGAAAGCAUCUAAGCGGGAAGCGAGCCCUGAGAUGAGUCUUCCCUGAUACUUUAAGUAUCCUAAAGGGUUGUCGGAGACUACGACGUUGAUAGGUCAGGUGUGUAAGUGCUGUGAGGCAUUGAGCUAACUGAUACUAAUUGCCCGUGAGGCUUAACCAU